rnacentral:rRNA from 1 species
UAUCGUAAUUGAAGAGGUUUGGAAAGACCCACCACAGAAGGUAAUAGUCCUGUAUGUUAAACGAGAAGACUUUAGAUAUGAUCCAGAGUACCACGGGACACGUGAAACCCUGUGGGAAGCAGGAGGGACCACCCUCCAAGGCUAAAUACUACCUAGUGACCGAUAGCGUAUAGUACCGUGAGGGAAAGGUGAAAAGAACCCCGGGAGGGGAGUGAAAUAGAACCUGAAACCCUGCACUUACAAGCUGUGGAAGCACAUUUCUUGUGUGACCGCGUACUUUUUGUAGAACGGGCCAACGAGUUACGUUAAGUAGCAAGGUUAAGCACUUAAGGUGUGGAGCCGUAGCGAAAGCGAGUUUUAACUGAGCGUUCAGUUACUUGACGUAGACCCGAAACCGGGCGACCUACCCAUGAGCAGGAUGAAGCGAAAGUAAAAUUUCGUGGAGGUCCGAACCCACGAGCGUUGAAAAGCUCGGGGAUGACUUGUGGGUAGCGGUGAAAUUCCAAUCGAGCCCGGAGAUAGCUGGUUCUCCCCGAAAUAGCUUUAGGGCUAGCCUCAAGGUGAGAGAUACGGAGGUAGAGCACUGAAUGUCCUAGGGGGUAUUGCACCU